UGUGAUAAAACUGUGACUUAAAAAAAAAAAAAAAAAAAAAAAAAAGAAGAAGAAAGAGAAGGAAAAGAAAUAAAAAAGAAAAAAAAAAGAGAAACAAUCUACCAAGAUAUCCCACCUGUUACUAAUCAUUUAUACGUCAUUUUUUAACGUCACCGAGUUGAUUAUUCAUCAGCUCGACGAUGACGACGUUUUAAAAAUUCUCUGACAAAAAAGUGUCGAAAGAAUAUGAAUAAAAAUUCUCUUUGUGGAGGGACAUAUAUAUCGACGGGAAAAGAAGAAAAGAAAAGAAAAGAGAAAAGAAAAGAAAAGAAAAGAAAAAAAAAGAAAAAGAAGAGAAAACGAAUGAAGAGAAAAAAAAAGAAAAAGAAAAAAGAAAAACCGGGGAAAAAGGGAACAAUUGAGAUUAAUAUCCUGUUCCAUAGAACAUUUCAAUGGCGAUAGCGAUAAAGAGAAUCGGUGGGAUCUAAUGGAGGCUUCGUCAAACCUGUCAAAUUCUCAUCGUAAUGAUACGCGUUAAAGUUCUCUUAUUCUCUAUCUCUCUAUCUCUCUAUCUUUAUCUCUCUCUCUCUCUCUCUCUUUCUCUCGGUGAAGGACAGAAAUAAAAGUAGCGAGUAUAGUCAGGGUCGGCAAGCUUCGCCUACCUGAUAGCGAACGUAGAGAUGACUCACGUGUCACGUCCCGUAAGGCUACGUUUCCAGUUUGACAUCGAGGAAAUUUGCCAGAGUCUUCUUACCUUUUCAAAUACUCUAUUUCUAUCUCUAUCUCUCUUUCUCUUUCUCAUUCUCAUUCUGUCUUUCUCUUUCUCUUUCUCUUUCUCUUUCUCUUUCUCUUUCUAUCUUUCUUUUCCUUUCCCCCUUUUAAAAGCCGACCGUCGUGUGCCUAUCGAUCAAACGAUGUUCGACACGCUCGUCACGUUUCUCGCGUUAUGCUGGUCAUAGCACGGUGCAGAAUGCGUCGGUCUUUCCAAACUCCCUAACGUGCACCAAGUAGAAAAAGCUGCCACGAUCAGACACCGUUGAUUCAAUCGCAUUUGUUCUCGCCACGCGAAUAAGUAUCAUUCGAAUGAACAUCAUUUCUUUCCUUUUUCUUUUUCUUUUUUUCUUUUUUCCUUUUUUUUCUUUCCGAUAUAUUAUAUAGCGUUUUUUUUUUCUCUUCUCUCGCUUCUUUUCUUUCUCUCUCUCUCUCUCUCUUUCUCUCUCUCUCUCUCUCUAUCUAUCUCUAUCUCUCUUUUUUUUUUCUUUAUAAAAUUUCUUCUUUUUUGCACGCACGUUUCUAUAAAACUGAAAAGUGAUUGAAAGUAUAAGGAAAUUAUGAUAAUUUCGAUAUUUAUAUUUUGAUAUAUGAAUCUCGUAGAAUUAUUGUAUUAUUCUCGCAAAAUUAAAAGUUCGUGGUUACUAGUUAUUUGUUAAAUUUACUACGAUUUUAUCCGAAGAUCGAAUGAAUUCGAAGGAAUUUUAAAUGAUCGUCCAUCUCUAUUAAACCACACUUUCUCUACACGAACGAACUCUAGCCCGGCUUUCCGUUUCUUCGAGGAUCCAUUUUGUAAAGAGAAAAAGGGAACAGAAGAAAGGAAAGAAAACAGAAAAAAAAGAAAAAAACAAAAAAAAGGCGAACAAACGAAAAGGAAGAAAAGAAUGCAAAGAUCGAGAUAUUUUCGGAAGAACGAGAGAUAACAUAACUCGCGAUUAUGUGGAUUCGAGUUUGAGAACGAGUCGGUCGAGUUUAAGAAGAAGAAGAAGAAGAAGAAGAAGAAGAAGAAGAAGAAGAAAAAAAGAAAAACAUAAAAAAAUAAAAAGAGAAAAAUAAAUAAAUAAAGACAAAGGAAAAAAUAAAAGUCAAAGGAGAAACGAGAAAAGCAAAAGACAAAAAUUAAAAAAAAAAAAAUAGAAAAGGAAAAGAAAAAAAAGAAGUAACAAAGAGAAAAAGAAAAAUAGAAAAUUCGCAGACGCUUUGAAAUUGUAUCGUGGUCGUUGUAUGCGUAUGAAAAAAAUCGCGAUGCUGAUCUCGAUAAAAAAAAAGAGAGAGAGAGAGAGAGAGAGACAGAACCACAGAAAAUGAUAGAGAGACAGAGAGAGACAGAGAGAAAGAGAGAGAAAGAAAGAGAAAGAGAAAGAAACAGAAUUCGAGAAGCGCGAAUGUCUCGUGGAGUCGAAUGUAAACUCGACUUUAGGCAGGUAUACACGACGUUACCUCCUUGAGUGCGUACGUACGCAACGUGUGCGAAUGGGGGGGAAGAAACCAGUCAGUCGUAUAAAACCGAGCGGCGAGUCGCGGCUCUAGUCAGUCUCUCACUCGGUCGGUACCUAGCGUGAACGUCGUUUCUUUUCGUAAUAUUUUCUUGACGGUGUGGCUUCCCUGUAUAUUCCCCUUCUGCUGAUAUUCUCGCAUGCGCGUAGACAAAAUACGAAUACAAAUUUGACGUCAAGUUCGGGAAAGAAAAGGAAUAUAUAUAUAUAUAUAUAUAUAUAUAUAUAUAUAAGGUUAAAAACACACGUGAGUGACGUUCGUUUUGACUGUGGAAUAGAAAAAAAGGAAAGAAAAAAAAAGUAAAGAAGAGACGAAAAGAGUCGUUCCAUAUUUUACUCGUGCGAUGGAGCAUCCCGUAACCCUCGCGACAUCGAUGCGUUUCCGGGAACGAUUUAUGAGCCCAUAGUGAUCGCCGGAGGAGACUUAUGAGUGGAGCAGGUAGUAUGGUGAUGGGUAGUAGUACUAGUAGUGAUCAUCGAAAGGAUUUAGAGAAAUCGAGAGAUAGAUUCAUCGUCGUUUAAAAAUUUUGAAUGAGUGUUCUGCGAGUUUGUAAUCUUUCUUUUUCUCAUUUUUGAUUUUGAUUUUGAUUGUUUUUUUAUUUGCUUCUAUCUAUAUAUGUCAUUAUCUUUCCUUAUUCUUAUUAUUAUUUUCUUUUUCUUUUUUUUUUUUUUUUAAAUAACAAUUUUGUAUUUGUAUUUAUUUCAUUAAUCUCUGUUACGUAGAUUGACGAGAAGAAGAAGAUGUUAAUCGAUCGUGAAUGUAGAUCGUGAUUCAUUCUUAUUAUUGACAUGUUGACUGUCAUCGGAGGUCAUCGGUGACCCAUGGUAGUGACUUUGCCGACUUCAUUUAAUCCGUUAACUGGGUCGUUCAUCGAUCAAUAAAAGCGAUCAUGACGUAAUUUAUUUUUAAUGCAAACAUAACGAUACACUAUUGAUAGUUGGUAGGAUUAUAUAUAUAUAUAAAUUAUACAAAUUGUUAAUAAAUAAAUGAUGAAGAAAAGAGGGUAGGAACGUUUGUAAACGUGUACGUGUUAGUAUCGUCAUGAAAAAAUAAUUUACAUAUGCUAGCACUUCCAUUUAGAUCUUGAUGAGAUUCUCGCGUGUUUUUAAUACCAACCUACCUACUCGUUUUCGAUUAAACAUUUCAAAGAUUUAUAGUCUUUUUUUUUCGACGUUUAGGAAGCUGUAAUUAUGAGUCGUAGAAAUAACGAGGUUCAUAUAAAAAGUAUAAAUCCAUAGGAUCGAUAUCAAAAUGAUCUCGUAACGAUCUCAUGAACGUGUUAAUUAGUACUCUAUCGUAACAAUUUUAUAUUAAAUAAAGUUCGUAUAUAUCUACGUGAACAUGUGUUUGAAAAAAUCAAAAAUAAAAAGAGAACGAAUAUCUGAUUAUAUCAAGGAAUCUUUGUUAACUAUACGAUGAUAUAAUAAAUUCUAUUGUAAUAUGCAUGCAAACGUGCAAAUAAAAAAAAAUAAAAAAUAAACAAAAUAUUAAUAAAAAAAAAAUAAAAAAGCAAUACAUGUAUACAGGUAUAUUUAUUAUUUAAAUUUGUAAUACUGAAAUGUCAAUAGCAAUACUUUCAAUAAUACUUGUUGUUAUCGCUCUUACAAACAUGAUACAUAUACAGACACAUAUAUCCAUGUACAUAUUUUUGUAUAUAGUAAAAUAGUACAUAUUUUCGUGACGAUAUGUCAAGAAAGGAAACAGAUAGCUGUGGUUAUUGGCGCGUGAAUCGUUAUCUCUAAACAGAACGAUAAAGUGAACAAUGCUAUGCAGACAUGUAUAAGAAAUAGUGUUCUACAUGCGAGCUCGUGUAUAUGUUUAUAUAUAUAUGUGUGUGUGUGUAUGUGUGUAUACAUGUGCGUAAGUUCGAUAAUUCCACGUUUCGUUCGUAUAUUAGGUGAUACGUCGUCGUUUCAGCGGGAGGAAGUUCGAUGAUGUGUCAAAGUUCGAUCGAUAUAAUCGAGAACGAUACGUCCCCGAAAAGUUUUCGAUAUUUUCACUCGCAGAAACUCGUGAAAUCUCGCAUUUUUCCGAUUUUCGAUAAUAAUUGAUGGAUUGAGAGACAUUCUCCGUUGGGACCAUUUCGUAUUUGUAUUUUAUUUCUUUUUCCAUUUUUUACUUUUUUUAUCUUUUAUUUUUCUUCGUAUGUAGGACACUGUGUGUGUGUGUAUGUGUGUGUGUGUGUGUAUGUAUGUAUGUAUAUGAGUAUUUAUUUUUGUAUAAUUUAUUUAAGAUUAUAUCAAAUAGUACAGUUAGAUAUGUAAAUGGCUAUAAAUGAUGAUAAUAUUAUUUAGAUAUUUAUAAUUGCUAGUACAAACAAUAUGUAUCUAUAUUUUUAUAUAAUCUAAUUAAGGUUAUAUUAAAUAGCACAGUUAGACUUGUAA